AAUCAGACAACAAACAUCAAACCACGUCGUCUAAUAGGGGAAUAGACGACAAAAUAAUGCUGCGUCACGUUGUCUAUGACCGCGACCCUAAUAGACGACAUCCUCCCUUGUCGGCUGUUAUUAAAGUUUUGAAUCAGGUUUUUUUUUCCUAAGUUUACCUCCACACCACUUUGACCUAGCCUCCUCCUUGCACCCGCUCCGCCCUAGCGCCGCUGCACCCCCUGAACCUCAACCUCCGCCUCCAGUCGAAGAAGGCAUUGGGAGCUCUAACUCCAGUCGCCGGCAGCCCUCGCCUCGCCGCGCCUACCCCACUGCGUCUCUUCUCCAGUCGAAGAAGACAUUGGGAGCCCUAACUCCAGUCGCCUGCUCUCGUUCCGCCGUGCCUCCGCCCGAUCUCGCCGCUCCUCCUGCACUCACCUGAAGCCCUCGCCACCUCCUCCGUUCGGCAGCAGCAGCCAAUAGUUACAAACCUAUUUCAGGAUUCCAAGGGAUCCUAUCGGGGCUUUUAGUUGGCGUCAAACAAAUAAUACCUGAUCAAGAGUUGUCUUUCUUAAAGACAAAAGUAAAAUGGCUUCCGACCUUGGUAAUCUUGGUCUCAAAUGACAAAGGGCUAUAAUUUUGUAGACACCUCAUUGCCUAGUCCAGAGUCUCUUGAAGCUUCUAGGAGAAGGUGCUCUUCAUGUAUCCUCCUAGGAAGAAGUUGGAUUUGCAAUUACAGGUGUUAAGGACUAUAAGCAGAAUAUAAUCAAACAACUAGAGAAUAAACUUUGUACCUGCAAUGGAUAUAGUUGUGCUACCCCCUAGCCUUUGCAGAGAAGAUGAAGAAGGUCGAGGGAGAAGCCGAAACAAAUAAUAGGAUCUUUUUUUCAUUUUUUUUUUUAAUUACUGACUCUGUCGGUGUCUUGCCAUAUUAUUGUAGUGGGGGAUGAUAAAGAAUAUUUGAAAUUAAUGGAUGACCUUUUUAUUA